UACGUAGGGGGCAAGCGUUCUCCGGAUUUAUUGGGCGUAAAGAGCGUGUAGGCGGCCUGGUAGGUCAGCUGUGAAAACUCGAGGCUCAACCUCGAGACGCCGGUUGAAACCAUCAGGCUAGAGUCCGGAAGAGGAGAGUGGAAUUCCCGGUGUAGCGGUGAAAUGCGCAGAUAUCGGGAAGAACACCCGUGGCUAAGGCGACUACCUGGCCUGUUCUUGACGCUGAGGCGCGAAAGCUAGGGGAGCAAACGGG
rnacentral:rRNA from 1 species